rnacentral:rRNA from 1 species
CAGCCGCCGCGGUAAUUCGUAGGGUGCGAGCGUUAAUCGGAUUUACUGGGCGUAAAGCGUGCGCAGGCGGUCCGUUAAGACAGGUGUGAAAUCCCUGGGCUCAACCUAGGAAUUGCGCUUGUGACUGGCGGGCUCGAGUACGGUAGAGGGGGGUGGAAUUCCUGGUGUAGCAGUGAAAUGCGUAGAGAUCAGGAGGAACACCGAUGGCGAAGGCAGCCCCCUGGGCCUGUACUGACGCUCAUGCACGAAAGCGUGGGGAGCAAACAGGAUUAGAUACCCUGGUAGUCCACGCCCUAAACGAUGGGUACUAGCCGUUUGGUGCGCGAUAGCGCUGAGUGGCGAAGCUAACGCGUGAAGUACCCCGCCUGGGGAGUACGGCCGCAAGGUUGAAACUUAAAGGAAUUGGCGGG